rnacentral:rRNA from 1 species
UUGCACGCUGGCGGCAGGCCUAACACAUGCAAGUCGCGCGGAUGAAGGGAGCUUGCUCCUGGAUUCAGCGGCGGGCGGGUGAGUAAUGCCUAGGAAUCUGCCUGGUAGUGGGGGAUAACGUCCGGAAACGGGCGCUAAUACCGCAUACGUCCUGAGGGAGAAAGUGGGGGAUCUUCGGACCUCACGCUAUCAGAUGAGCCUAGGUCGGAUUAGCUAGUUGGUGGGGUAAAGGCCUACCAAGGCGACGAUCCGUAACUGGUCUGAGAGGAUGAUCAGUCACACUGGAACUGAGACACGGUCCAGACUCCUACGGGAGGCAGCAGUGGGGAAUAUUGGACAAUGGGCGAAAGCCUGAUCCAGCCAUGCCGCGUGUGUGAAGAAGGUCUUCGGAUUGUAAAGCACUUUAAGUUGGGAGGAAGGGCAGUAAGUUAAUACCUUGCUGUUUUGACGUUACCAACAGAAUAAGCACCGGCUAACUUCGUG